GGCCCUCUGUUUCUUUUUCACUCACCCACACAGACUGCAUCAAGGCUUGCCAGGACGCAGCAAAACCACUGACCAGAUGUGAUCAAGCUUGGAGCGUCAAACAGGUUAUGCCCUGUUUUGUGAUUAACCCUGGCAGCCAUACACUACAGCUGGAAGCGCAACACAACAUCCAGCACCGU
rnacentral:lncRNA from 1 species